rnacentral:rRNA from 1 species
GACGAACGCUGGCGGCGUGCUUAACACAUGCAAGUCGAACGAAGAGCGAUGGAGGCUUGCUUCUAUCAAUCUUAGUGGCGAACGGGUGAGUAACGCGUAAUCAACCUGCCCUUCAGAGGGGGACAACAGUUGGAAACGACUGCUAAUACCGCAUACGAUCUAAUCUCGGCAUCGAGGAUAGAUGAAAGGUGGCCUCUACAUGUAAGCUAUCACUGAAGGAGGGGAUUGCGUCUGAUUAGCUAGUUGGAGGGGUAACGGCCCACCAAGGCGAUGAUCAGUAGCCGGUCUGAGAGGAUGAACGGCCACAUUGGGACUGAGACACGGCCCAGACUCCUACGGGAGGCAGCAGUGGGGAAUCUUCCGCAAUGGACGAAAGUCUGACGGAGCAACGCCGCGUGAGUGAUGACGGCCUUCGGGUUGUAAAGCUCUGUUAAUCGGGACGAAAGGCCUUCUUGCGAAUAGUGAGAAGGAUAGACGUACCGGAAUAGAAAGCCACGCAUU